AUCAACCUAACAACUGGCUUUUCAGGAGCCAUCCCAUAAAAAUAAACAAACAACAGAAAAAAACAAUUUUGUGUGCGCAGUACUACUGAGACUACAACUCAGAUUUUAUAUAACAGAGGAUAUUCAUCAAGCAUACUGUUGGGCACAGUGGAGGAUCUGUGAUGCUGUGGAUCUGUUUCUCUUCCAAAACACUCGGCUCCUUCACAUAGAAACCCUGAGAGUCACAUAAUCUAUGUAAAGGUUAAGAUCAUUUCAUUUAGAAUAAACUCAAGUUAAAUUCUGGAUUAUUCUAAUGUUUUCAGAACAUGAACUCCUGCGCUGUAGUUUACCACAGCAAAGAAGUCCUUCACUGUACCUUUCUACAGCAAAGGAUGACUUUAUUUUCCUCUGUCGUUUGUUUUUUUUCCUUCUUCUUUCACCUUUAAUUUUACAGCUCAGUAUAUUCUAACACAUCUCAGUGUUUUCAUAGCGGUGAGAGAUUCAAAGGUGCAACCGUGUCUGUCACCUUUAUGGUUGACUUUGGGGAAAUGCGAAUUUCACUCCAGUACAUGUUGAUUUGCUGAUGUGUGUUGUCUAGUUUUACUGAAUCUCUUCUCUUCCAGAGAACGUAAUGGAAGAAAGGACCUUAAGUCACCUCAAGACCAACCUCAGUGCUGCAGGUCUAAUGCUUGCCAUGAAACGCAAACUAAUCAUGUAUAAAUAACAUCAGACAUGAAAUAUAUUAGCAAUAUGUAAUGUCACCUGGCCUGCUUGGUGCUACACAGUGUACAGUUUCUGUCUGAGGGAGAGACAGGCAGAGAUUUACAUCGAAGAAGGUUACGACACAGACGCUCCGCUGUGGAUCUUCUUUUUACAUCCUGGAAUGUGGCGGGCCAGACUCAUCCAGUUCAACAACAGGCAAACAUGAAGUCAUUUUAUGGAUAUCAGCGGAGCAACUGCAGCUGCCACACACAGUCCUCUGCACAGCUGGAAUCAGUCACCCACCAAGUGACAUCUUUAGAGAAGGCAGGAAAGAGAAAAGAGAGAUUUGUUCCAAGUGUGGGGUGGCAAGAGGUAGGAGUGAGAGGAGUGACUGAUCAAUAGAAAGAAGUUAGAGAGAAACAGAGACCUAAAGGCAAAAAAAAAAUGAAAAAAGAGAGAGAAACAGAGGGGAGAAGAGACAACAGGACGACGAGAGCAGAAAGGGAAGCAGCGAGGCGGCAGCUGGAACGGGCAGACGCAUGAGGAGAAUCCCAAUAACCUGCUGUUCUUUCCUUGAGAGCGAGGAUAAUGCACUGUGUGCCGAGUGUUCAAGUGAGAGCGGACAAAGCGAGCCGUAUUUGAUUGGAGGGCCGUGUUUGUGUGUGGCUUUCUGACUGUGUGAUUGUUUCCAGCAAAUGUGUCAGAAGAUGGCACAUAUGUGGAGGGUUGUUUUCCAGCCAGUGUUUGUCCCUCUGCAGGCAUGCAUGUGCUCAUUAGGUAAGGACUGUGUGACAGUAUACGUGUGCAGUGCUGCACUUCACCAAAAGAAGUCAGCCUUGUGCUGUAAAACUAUCGCCACGUGUUAUUGGACAGCCAGGCAGAGAUGGACAACGACACAGCAAACAGGCUGACCGUCUGGAUUUCAUGGUGUAGAUUCAACUCUAACGUCUAAGUGAAAUUGCUCAAUUUAUCUUCUCGGUUUUCAGUUAAUUAAGACAGAUUAUUAGCAUCUGAACAUGGAUGUGUUUAGGUAUAAUACGUAAU